UACGUAGGGGGCAAGCGUUAUCCGGAUUUACUGGGUGUAAAGGGAGCGCAGACGGAACUGCAAGUCUGAUGUGAAAGCCCGGGGCUCAACCGCGGGACUGCAUUGGAAACUGUAGAUCUGGAGUGCCGGAGGGGCAAGCGGAAUUCCUGGUGUAGCGGUGAAAUGCGUAGAUAUCAGGAGGAACACCGGCGGCGAAGGCGGCUUGCUGGACGGCAACUGACGUUGAGGCUCGAAAGCGUGGGGAGCAAACAGGAUUAGAUACCCGCGUAGU
rnacentral:rRNA from 1 species